UCACUUGAUAAUGAUGGAUUUUGGUUUAGUUUAUGUGAUGUGAGAGGGACAUAGAUAGCACUAUUAAAAUGGAUUUUUGAGGAAUAAAAAUUUGUGGGUGUAGAGGAAUAAAGAGUUACAUCAGAUCUUGGUCUGAUUUGAGAGAGAUAUUAAAACUCAAAACAAUGGAGGAAGGAAGAUGAGAGAUAAAGGAUAUGUAAAUGUAAUAUGACCAACCAAAGCGAUUGAAGCCAAUUUCCACCAGCAAGUUCUUUUCUUUUUUGUAAGGUUUUUUUUUUUUUUUUUUUGUGGGGGACAUUAAAUGCUAUAGCCAAUAGAAAAGAUUGGAAUUUGUGUGAAAGAAAGAGAUGGUGUUGUCGGGACCAUGUGGGUCUGGCUGGGGUUACUCUGUUUUCUGCUUUUCAUUUAAUCUAAUCUUUUAUUUCCAAGUCAAAAUUUUUUAAAAUGAUUUUUCAUGAUUAAAUUAUAAAUAUUUAAAAACACAGUAUAAUUAUUAUAAUUAUAAUUAUAAUUAUUAUUUAAUGUUUAUUUAAAUAAUUAAAACUAAAAGUUUGUAGGCCAAAGUCCCAGUGACGCCGCCCCUGCCUAUAAUAGUCAAGGAAGCAGUCAUCAGGGGUAAGUUUUGUUUAGUUGAACUUCCAUACGGAGAUGGAUUACCAGAUAAAAAAUGUGUGGAUGUAAGUAAAGCAUACUAGUCGUUGAACUGCUGCUAAGCUUAUUAUUAUUAUUAUUAUUAUUAACGAUAAGAGACAUUCAAGCUUCACAACAUUUUCUCUGAAAAUUUUUUAUUCAUAAUUUAAUUGUUUUUCUUAAUUUGAUUUCUAUACUUAAACUCUAUUAAAGUAGGAAAAAAUGUUAGUCAUCAACUAGAUUUUUACAAUUUUUAAAUAAAUAUUUUUAAAAAAUUAUAUAAAUUUCAUGGAAUGACAAAACAGAUAUAAUCAAAGAAACUAUUUUUAUUUUCAAAUGGAAGGUGCAGUGUUUAUAAAAGCAUCCGGGAAAGUGGGAAACGUAACAGUGCUUAUCGUGCGGCUCUCUCCUUAAUCACAAUCAAUUUGGGGUUAAUUCCUUUCAUCACGUGCGCUUCUAUUUUGAAAUUUGAGAAAAAUCAGCUCUAAUGAAUCAACAUCAAAUCCACCACCUCUAUAAUUGCUCUUACUCUAUGUUUAAUAAUUUAAUUUAAACUUAAUAUAUUAUUUCAAACUCAUAUUUAUGUUGUUGUUUUUUUAUCUAAUCUAUUUUUUGUCUUUGAUAAAAAUUAUACAUUUUAAUGUUUAAAGGUAACGAUGUUAAGUUUUUAGUGUUUAAUUUAGAUUUUAAAGUUGAUUGAUGAAACUUAAUUGCUAAUAUUAUAAUAUUUAUUUUUUUAAAAAUAAAAAAUUAGUGUUAAUUCUAAAUUUGUUCAACUUUACGUUUAAUUUUUUUAAUUCAAGCAUUAGAGUUAAUUUGAUGAAAGCUAAUUACUAUUAUUAUUAGUUAAUUAUGAAUUCCCAUCAAAUCAACUAUAAAAACCUAGACUAAACAUUAAAAAGUUAACAUUGUUACCUCUAGAUAUCAAAAUGUAUACUUUUUGUUAAAUAUAAGUAUUAUAUUGUAAAAAAAAAACAAAUAUCAAACUCAAAUAACAAAAUUAUGUAUAAAGACUAUAUAUAUAUAUAUAUAGCUUAUGUUACAUUUUAAGAGGUAAAAGGAUGAAAUUUCACAUAAAUCCAAUCCUAGAUAAACAUACCAAUACUUGAAUUUAUGUACAAAAUAGUUUAUAGACUUAAUUUUUAUAUUAUACUACUAUGGUUUCUACCACGCUUCGUGUUGAGUUAAUUAUUUUUUAAGCUAGAUUAUAGUGUAAUUAUUUGAAGAUUAAAAUAUUCUAUAUUUAUGUAAUCUUCAUACAUUUGAAAUUUUGUCUUCUUACUUUUUUUUUUUAAUUUUAUAACAAAGUCAAUAGGAUGAACAUGAUAGAUUCAUAAAUAUUUUUUUUUGAAAUAAAUAAGCAUAACAACGUGUCACCACCCUGAUGAAUCGGUCAUGUGACAUAAUGGGUCCGAUUUAAGAAAAAAAUAAUAUUUUUUAAAUAAAUAAGUAGUGUGAUAAUAUUUUUGAUGUAUAAUGUUUUAAAGUUAAUUGCAACGUCCAAUCAAGUAAGCAAGCAAAAAGGAAGCUAAAGUUGGAUAAAAUAUUUGUUAACAUAAUAAAUGUGGGAAUCAUCAGGUCACGUAUAUGAAAUUGAAUGCAGUUAAGCGUGGGAAGUUUGGAUACAAAUUCCACGAUGCAUAUGCCUCUGAGUCGGAUAAUUCGCGAAAGUGUUCACUUUUGGUUUUGAUUCAACACUGUUGAAUGCCAUUAACCAAACAAAACGUGGGUGCUUUGAGCCUGUAUUGGGUCGUCUUUUCUGGGUUUCUUUUAACUGUUGCAUCUUGACUUUUGGGUAAACUUAUCCACAUUUAAGGCCCAUUACUACCAAAAUUUUCAUUUUUUUUCCAUUCAAUCAAUCAAAUCCUAGAAGAAACCACGGAGAGGACAGCAUAAUCUACGGGAUAACAAAUGCAAGUCUAGUUAUCUAUAAAUGUAGGGAUUAGUGCAAAGACUGUAGGAUCAAUUUGAACCUUACUUCAACUAAUUUCAUCCACUUGGCUGAUUGUUAAACUAAAAAUUAUAGCAAUUGAAUCGAAGAAUGAGGUUAAGGUUGAAUAGAAGCAAAGUAACCCAAUUUGCUGAAAAACAAACUUUUAAUUCAAAUUCCUGCACCCACAAUUUAAAACAGGCAACUUCAUCUGCACUCCAAGACUUGAGAAAUUUCUGGUGACAACCAUUACCAUAUACAAUGAAUUCCUAAUAAUAGUAAUAAUAAUAAUCAAACAUCAAAGCCUAAUAGAUAAAACAAAUUUACAUGAGUUAAAACCUGUAUUUUGUUUUUGAAUAAUAAUUUCGUAAAUUCCAAACCUUGAUUCUGCAGAACUUCAAGGAUUACCCCAAGCAGCUAUAUGCAUUUUCAUGUUGGUCUAAUCCACAAAUUGCCAUCCUGGGUAAACAAACUCUUAUUUCAGCACUUCACCCGAGAGCAAUAUGAUUUAAACGAUUCUAUCCCCUAAAUCUAACGACGACGCAAGAUAUGUCAUCUUUGCUGUCUCUUUUAACUGCUUCGGUGGUCAGUUGCUUUGCGGCCUUCUGUGGGUCUUUGAACCUUUUUGCAAUAUCAACCGCCUCUUGAUUAGUCAUCACCUGGAUUAAGCAUAAAGAACGGGAAAUAAAACUCCUGCUGAACUAUUACUAGCUCAUGCAUCAUUGAGACAAUUUCUUGCAUGUGCACGAAGUGAAUAAAUAUAAAUGAACAGAGGCAUCAAAACCAAAAGAAUUUACCUUCCAAAGACCAUCACUAGCAAGGACUAAAAUGUCUGUAUUGCCAUCUACCUUGGCGUUUUGAAUGUCUGGAUCUGACCGCAGAUGUGAUUUAAGGCUCUUGUCCCCAAAAGCACGUGAAACUGCCAGUUGUCCGUUAACUCUAGGAACAUCUCCUGUUAAGCAUGACAAAACAGCAAAUUCAACAAUUUCAAAACGAAAAAAAUUACUAGAGCAAGAGCCUUAUGUUUCACUCUAUAGUGAGAAUUUCCAUGGAUUAGAAUUAGCUGAACUGAUGUUUUCGGGCCAUCAAUUCUUUUGUGGUAUCUUUGAAUGUAUUUCAGGCCAAGGCACGAGAAGCAAAAUAAUAAAAAUUAAUAAAUAAAAAAAUCAUGGUAACUUGCAGUUUCCUUUUCAAUGGAUACAUCAAGAAAAAUGCAAAGGAAGCCAAUGAUGUGGAUUUUGAGUAAAGCAACCAACUUACAGAGUCAUUAUCGUAACCUAAAAUUAUUGCAGAUUCCAUAUUAGGAAUGAAGGAAGAAUCAGUAACUUGAAUCUAAUAAAUGCCCACAAUAGGCUGGCAGCAACAAGACAAAAUCAGCCUAUCAUCUUCAUUGACUUAACAAGGUAAUUAAUACUUGGCAAUAAAAAGUAAAUUUAACCACUAAUUAAAUGUAUGCGCCCAUAAAAAGAAGAAAAAUAAGAGAAUUACAAGGUAGUGAACCGUAAAGACAAAAAUUUCUUUUCAAUGUAGUUGAUGUGUUCUUGGUAGAUGGAGUAACUAACUGAACCAUCAGUGUCUUAAUGAGGAUCAAAACUACAUGGAUAAUAAGUUCUUUUAGGAACUUCCUACAUAAGUGUCUAAGCAUUAGAAGCUGCAAACAGCUUAAAGAUCACCAGCAGAUUCAACCGUUCAACUUCUUUGCCAAAACAUGUUAUAAAUUAUUAUCAUAUUAGACUGUACGUGCAUAAAAACGAAUGAACUUGUAAACAUUGGAUGCAGUAGAAGACCUGGCAUAUUUGAGACAAAUCCUCCUCUGUUCUCAAUGCUGCCUCGUUCGGUGUUUGGUUCAUGAUCUGUAGUCAUCUGUGUAGCCUGACCCCUACUUGAAAGAACAGCACGAGAAUCUCCAACAUUUGCCACCCAUAGACUUUUUCCAUUUAUCAAUAUUGCAGUUACAGCAGUGGAUCCACCACGACCCAAGUCAGCAGCACGUGAAAGAAUUGCUUGGUCUGUUUUGUCAUAAGCUUUUGAAAUGGCUCUGCGGGGAUCAACCCAAAACUCUUCCUAGAAAAAGUAAGAAAUGAAAGCAUAAGUUGAUUUGAAAGUAAUAAGCCAAAACAUGUAAUUACCCUAUUAAAAAUGGUAUGGCACAUCCCACCUCCUUUAGGAUAUUGGCAAACAGAUGCUUUUGUAGGUAGGCAGGUACACUAUCUCCCAGAUGACCAUCAUAGAUAGCAAAAAGCCCCAACUCGUGACCUUGAAUCUGCAUGAACUUAGCGACAUGAUAAUCCUCCAUAGGAUGACUUGCUUUCCCUUUUACUAGGCUGAAACCAAACCUCAUUAUACCCUCAUGGCUUUUCCCCUUGCCAGAAGUAGAUGAUGAACGCCCCCCUCCAUACUAAAAUGAUAAAACAGUAACAAUAAGUCUCUUUGUAAGCCUCACUUAGCCACGUUGCUUAACACCAACCAAAAGAAAACCUAUACCAAUCCGGUUACUAUAAAAAACCAUCAAAUAUGUUGCAUCAACAUAACAUUAUGAAAAAGAUGACACAACGAAAAGGGAAAAAGAACCCCAAAGAGUAAAUUCUUGUAGCAUGGAAAGUUCAUCCAAAUUUCCCUUCUAAACAAGCUGUGUACUGACUGUUCAUAAUAAAUCAAUAUACAGGAUCAUAUGAUGAACUUCUUGUACAAGACUGUUGGGCAAAUAGAAUUUUUUUAAAAAAAUUUAAUUGCAUAACCUGUAUUAAAAGAAAAACUCUAAAUUGGUUUACCAAGUUAGGAACAUCUGCAAUAUAAUCACACAAUAAAAAAUAAAUAAAAGAAAAGAAUAUAUUUAUGACUAUAUGCCAUACAGAUCAUCAUUAGGAAGCGUUCAUGAAAAAUUAUAGCAAUCCCAACACACAUCUAAGAUGAAUGAUCAAAUCCUUUCAAUAUGCAGACCAUUCUUGCAACCCAAAAUCAUCACUCUUAAGUAGCUCAUAUAAGAUACCUACUGAAAUCAGGCAACAUAACCUCAAAAUUAAUCACACAACUAACCUAUAUAAAAAUUCCAAGUUUCAUCACAAUUAAUUGAAAGUUUUAUUUUCCCAAACAUAGGAGUACUAAGAAAAGCCUUAAAAGAGUACAGCAAAUAUGCUUUACCUGAGAGGAAUUAAAGCAGCACAACCAAUCCAUAGAAAAUAAAAUUUCUGCAAAAACCUCUAAUUUGCCUGACUAAAUUCUCUUCAGCAUCAAGUUCCUGGUCAAUUCAAAGAUAUCAUCAAAACCCCAACAAAAAAAGUAUCGUUAAAGGAAAACCCUCAAAGCCACAAACAAAAACAAAAGGAUGAGCAUGAAAGAAUCACCAAGAUAAAGAAUCAAUUAGAAGGCCAAAAUAUGCCUUGUUUCUGCUACUGCUGGGUGAAGUAGGUGUCCGCUACAACAGCUUUCCUUUUUGUUUAUCAGCUGGGGUUUUCUUCCUCUUCUUGUUAUAGGUUGGCUUUUGUUAAUUUGCACAAGCAAUUGAAUAAUAUUUGAAAGCUUUCUUUUAAAGGGUUAAAAACUAGUGCUUAAUAUUAAAAAAAAGAUUGGAAUUUGGAGAAAAAGAAUGGAGCUUUUGCCUGAAUGAUUACUUGUGACCGUUCUAGGAAGAGUCUUCCUUUGCUAUUUGAUAUGAUAUAUCAUAAUAUUUAUGUGAAAAAGGAAUCGUUAACAAUAUAAUGAAAAAAAAGCUGCCACAAAGCAGACUUCUUCAUGUUGACUUUGCUGUUUCAGUGUGUUUUCCAUUUUUGGGGGCGCUUUCUUUGUUUUCAGCCUUAAAAAAAAUCAUUUUAUUUUUUUAUUAAAAAAAAGUAAAAAUUUACAAAUAUUAUUCUUUAAACAAUCUUCUCAUAAAUUUUGAUCAUAUCUUUUUUGUUACACAAUACUUAUAAUUACUCAUAACUCUUUUCAAUAUACUUCAACGCACUUAAACUAAUGUUAUCUUAUAUUGGUAUGCUAAUUAAGUUAAGAAUCAAUCAUCAAUUAGACCAAGUUAAAUUAAUUUCUUCAUUCAAAGACUUGGAUUAUGUUAAUUGGUGAAGAAUUUGUGGUAACAAAUCAUAAGUUGAAAUUUGAUUUUUUUUUUUGUAAAUUAUUAAAAAAUAAAAUGGUUAGCUUGCUUAAUACUUAACUAAAACGUAAAUCGAUAACCAACUCCUAACUGGGCAACCCUUGAACAUGUCUGUUUUAAGAUGAUAUAAAUUAUUAAUUAAUUACCAAAGAAGUUAUACUCAUGUAAAAUUCAUUAAUAAACAUAAAUAUGAUUUUGUGUACGGUAAUAUUAGUAAACAAUAUCCCCAACUAAAUAAAACAUUUCAAAAAACAACUUACCGCAAAGCGGACAAAAUUAGGGGUAUGUUCAACUUUUGAUUAUUUAAGGAAAUUGAAUGAUUUUUCUUAUACAUGGCAAUAAUGCUUUUCCCAGUUCCAUUACUCCAUCAAGCAUAUGUGUUUUUUUUUUCAUGUUCUUUUUUAUUUAGUUAAUAAAUAUAUUGUUUUCAAUUUUUUUAUUUUAUUUUUAAUUAAUACUUAUUUUAUUUAUAUCAAUAAAACAAUAAAUUUGUAAUUAUAUAAUAAAUAUAUAUUUUUUAUAUCUAUCAUUAUGUAAAAAAUGUUUUUUAAGUGUAUCAACUAUUUUAUUCAUUUAUUUUUCCUUAUAUAUAAUUUUUUUAUAUGUCAAAAAUUUAUUUUUUUGACGUGAUUAUGAUAAAUUCUAAUAUUUUAAAAUUAAAUAAUUAUUUUAAAUAUCAUUAUUAUUUUUAUACGUGAAAUAUUUUAAUUAAUUAUUUCAAAUAUCAUUAUAGUUUCAUCUAGUAAUAUGAAUUUAGACUUGAUAAUGGGUUGGGCCGAAGUAAAAUUUUAUGCCCAUUUUCUAGGCACGAGCCUGGCCCGACCCAAUAAAAUGGGCCUAAAAUUUUGUCUAAGCCAGGCCUAAAUUAAAAAUACUAAACUCGAGCCUGGCACAGCCUGCACAUAUUAAUUUUUUAGAUUUUUUAUUUAAAAUUAAUUUAAAAAAUAUGAUACAUCAAAUACACUAAAAAACAUUAAAAUAAAUGUUUUCCAACAAAUUGAAAAUAUGUUAAAAAAUUUUAUACUUAAAUAACAUUAAGAUAGUUACAACUUAGUAAGUAAAUGUCUCUAAAAUAGUAGCAGAAUUAACAAUAAAACCAUAGUUAUACAAUAUAACAACAAUAAAACAACAGCAUAACAACAAAAAAAUAGAAGGAAAAAAGUUUAGGCUUAUUCGAGUCCAGGCCAAAAAAAUCCAACUUGAGGCCCGACCCAUUUAAAAAUCAUGUAUAUUUUUUUGUCUAAACUCAUUUUUUGGUCAUAUUUUUCUAUCUAAACCCUCUUACUUUUCAGGCGGGCUUUCGAGUCUGGGCGGAUGACCUGACCCAUGAUUUGGUCUAUGCAUGAUCUACAUGAAUGGAGCAUGAAAUAUGACGGUUAGAUUAUUAAAAUAUAAAUUGUAUAAAAAGUUAUGAAAGGGUGUAAAACUAAUUAAAUUUUACACCAAUGUAUCCCUCCCCAAGAAAAAUAUUUCAAAAGAAAUUAAUUGAUGUUUUUUUAAAAAUAAAAUAUAUUGAACAUAAUGGUAAAUAUCAAUAAUAUAUAUUCGUUAUAUAAGUACAUAUUUAUUAUUUUAUUUAUACAGAUAAGAUAAUUAUUAAUUAAAAAUAAAAAAAAUUGAAACAACAUGAAAUAAAGAACACAAGUGUAGAGGAGAGUUGAACUUGUGACUCAAGGAUGAAAGAAGACGCUUUUUGUGAAAUGUAUUUUUCCAAAAAUGUUUUUUUCUUAAAACGGGUUUUUGUCACAUCUAUAAAAAUAUGACAUAUUUCCGUAAAUAAUCAAAAUUUUAACUUAAUUAUAUCUCUAUUAUUUUUCUAAAAUCGACAUAUACCUUUAAAUUUACCUUUUAAAGAGAUUAAAAGAAAAAGGUUACAUAGUGAAUGAUAAACUAAAAUUAUUCUGGAAAUGAAAUAAUCAUUGAUGACUAGAAUCUAAAUAAAAUAUUUAUAGAGUAAUUGCUAUGCUAAUACUGAUUGAAAUUCAAUUAUAUCUUAUUUCUUUUAAAUAUUCAAAUUUGGGAAACAAAAUUUAUAAAUUUUAGAGAUUUAAAUCUUGGAUAAAAUUAAAAGACAAAUUCUCCAGCAGAUAUAAUAAGAUUCCAAAACAUACUUUAAAAGAAAAAAUUCAAAGCUUAGAUGAUGCAUGCCAAAAGACCUAUAUUGUAGAAGUAAAUCUUAAUUUAAUUUUUAUAUAAUUACAAUAUUAAUUUAAGUUAUUAUUAUUUUGAUAAUCUGUGUAGGCAUUAAUGUACCAAUUUAAAUAAAUUAUUGUCAAAGUGUAAUCUGAUAUGAAAACAAGAUUUACUUAUAUCAACUUGAUAACUUGUUUUAUAAUAUCAAUUUAAUAAUAUAAUAAAUAAUCAUAUUUGUGAUAAAUCUAAAUUUUAAAUUGAUACAAUAGCAUUUUUAUGUUCCGAAAAAAUAUUGUUUCACAUGUAGUUAAAAUUUCAAUUUUUUAUAUAUAAAAAUACACACUCAUAAAUCAUAAAAAAAAAUAUAAAAGAAAUUCUUUAAUUGAAUCUUAUAAAGCAAAACAAAAAACAUUGUCGAAAAUUUCCAUUAAUAAUUAAUGGUUGGUAGCAUUUAUAUUCGAAAAUAACACGGUCCAGCAAACUUAUUUUGACAUACACACUUCGGAUAAAUUUCUUUUUUGUAAAUACAAAAUUAUUUAAAUAAUUAAUGAUAUUUUAAUUGGAAUGACAAAUAUUUUUUGAAAUUUAAGAUUUUAAAAAAAAAUUGAAGUCAUAAUUUCAACUUCCACCUAUGUGAUUUUUUUUCUAAUUUUAUAUAAUAAAAAACACAAACAAUUAUACAAUAAUAUUGUUUCUUUUUUAUAAAUUUUUGCAAAAUAUAUAACGACAAAAAUCACAUCAUAGCAGCGCGAAGCUAACGAAGUAGAAUCCCGGGAAGACUUAGCUGAGGCGGUUUGUUGGUAAGGACCUUGGACGGCCGAUGCUGGAUGGUCUCUGCCGCAGCCACCAACUAUACAUGGUCGUAUUUACUCUACGUUAAGACAUCUAAAUUUGUGUCAUAUAGUUUUACUUCUUAUUUUGUGUCAAUUAGCCCUGAUCCAAAAUUGAAUCUAUAAAUAAAUUUAAUUAUAUAUAUAGAGUUUAAAAUGAUUCAUAUAUAUUUUUUAUUUUUUAAGUACGUUUUAAUGUAUUUAAAUUUAUAUAUUUUUUAUAUUAAUAAUAUCGAUAUUAAUUAAAUUAAUAUUUAAUUGACAUAAGCUUAAUUUUCUAAACUUGAUAUCAUUUUAAUUUUUAUUUAAAUAUAAUUUAUAAAAUAAUUCUUUCAACAAUCUCACCUUGGCAAAGAUAGCAUUUUGAACCAACCUACUUCCUAGUAACGUGACCGUUCCUUGCUAAAACUGGGACAAAUAAAAGGAAACCAAAAUUGAAAUUAAGAAAAGAAGGCCAAAAUCCGUGACUAUGUAGGCAUCAUCUCCUAAGGCCGCCGCUCAGCUGGUAAAGAGAAAACAAGGCUAAUAAAGAUACAAAUAUUUUCGUUUACUUGCUCCCUUAAUUCAUAAAAUUCAUAUUUGAGUAAUUAUUUCAUAUACAACUUACAAGUCUAAAAACUCCAAAAUCAUAUUGAAAAUGUGACAAAGUGUCCAAUUUAUCUCUCUUUUUUUUUAUUUUUUUUAAUUAAAUCUUUGAGACAUUUGCCAUAUUCUCAAAUUGUUUCAUAUAUAAGAUAAUCUUUUAUCUAUUAAGUAAUUAUUUGACACACAAGUAAUAAAAACUUUUAACUCUAUAAAUGGGUUAAAAUGUCAUUAUGUUUAAAAUUUCAAACUUCUAAAAAAAGAUGAUCACCGAGGUAGUACUAGAUGUGACUUUGGUAGUGGGAGUGGUUGAGCCAUCAAGAAAGCCUGCAUGAGGGAAGAUGAUCUACCAGAUGGACUGGAUGAGGAUAUGACUGCUCCGACUGCAAAUAACAUGUUGCUUAAAGACAUACUAAUGAAUGGAGGGAAUGGAAACUCGAAUGAUAACAUGCCAUUAAUGGUUGAUGUUGAAGAAGAUGAUAUCAAACUUCUCGAGGGUGAUGUUCUUAUGAGCGUGGAGAAUGAGAAUCCUUCAAUAAAGUUUUCAGAAAGUGGUAAUAAUUUGGUCAAUGAGAGUAUGUCUAAAACCAUCAUUCUUAAAUUACUUGGGAUGCGGAUUGGUUUUAACGCUCUUCGCAGUAAAACUCUUAUGCUUUGGAAGACUAAUCAACUGUUCCAAUUAAUGGAUUUGGAAAACAAUUAUUAUGUGGCCAAAUUUCGCUUUAUUGAUGAUUAAUACAAAGGUUUUAACAAGGGGAUCGUGAGUGAUCUUUGGUCAUUAUCUCAUUGUCUAGUCGUAGACACUCAAUUUCAGUACAAUCUAAGAGUAUCCACACGAGGCUAUUCUUUUGACAACUUAGUGGUUAUAAGUUAAAAGAUAUUAUACACGGUAAAAGCUAAUAAUGUAAAUCAAUAAGUAGCUCAAAAGAAAAUUGAGCCGUGUCUUUUGUUUUUCGUUUUGAAACUUUCAGUCUAUUUGUCUUCAACUUGAAGAUGAUAGAGAUAACUAUUUAUUUUUUAGCCAUGUUAAGCAACCUAUGCUUUAUAAUAACAUCUGGGUGUAACGCAAUAUUUUAAAAUUCGAAGUGCCUCUCAAAACAUAAUCUGAAACCUUAUGCCAUCUUUUAAGCUUCUAAAACAAGAAGAUUUAUUUUUGUUACCAUUAUUGACUGGUCUCAAACAUCAACCAGAAAAAGGAAUUGGUCCAAAAUCAUAAUGUGCCGAUUGUUUACAUGUUAGGAACAAGCACACGUGAUGUGACCAGCGCCCGCGGUCUUAACAAGCUGAAACCCCAACCUUUUUUUCUUUUUGUGAAUGUGUAAUAAGAGAAAAAUCUUACCAACUUUGUCUCACACUCUAGAUUAUUUACACCUAUUUUAAUUAAUCAAUCUCAACACGAGUUUUUGUCCAAUAACUUGUGGAACUUAGUAAGAUAAGUAUCGGAUUUAAAUAUUGUGGAGGGAAAAAAUAAUAUUGAGAGAAUAUAAUUUUUUUGAUUUAACUAAAUUUUAAAUUUAAUCAAAAUUUAAUGUAAUUAUCAGAAAAAGACCCCAAAAUUUAUAAUAAACCGAUUAUAAAUCUAUAUAUUAAACAUGAGACCUAUUUGACAUAAAAAAAAAAAAAGAUUUGAUUCCUUUUUAGUUUGCGGAGCUCAAGACCGGAAACCUUGACGGGGAAGCCUCAUGGCAUCUUCUUCCUCUAUAAAAUAAUACCCUUCCAUUCCUCUGAAAAUGAGAGAAUUAAAAAAUGUGUGUUGUAAUAGGGGAAAUUAAUGAAAUGAUAUAAUGGCAAAGGACAUAGGUUGUUAUAAAAAAGCAAAUAGUCCCGAGUUUAAUAUGCGAUUUCAAUAUUCUUAUUACAAAGUAUGGAAGGGAGACUGAAACAUAGGUUAGUGGAACAGUUCAUCUUCUUUUUUAAGAUGAUCUCAAAUUAAUGUAAUAAUUUAGUUUAAAAACUGUGGCCUACAAUCCAAUUAUAUAGUAAUAGUAUGAGACCUUUUUAAAAAAAAGCUUUGUGAGAAAUUUCUACGGAAAAUAAUUGCUGAGAAGGUAUAUUGAAAUUCAAAUUAUUUUAGAUUUGGAUUACUUUAAAUUAUCUAUAUAUUUAUAUUCUUUUAGUUAAAAUAAAAUUUAACUCAAAUUAUCAAUGCAUGUUUUUUCGAGUGGCAAGGAAUUCAAUGUCUUUUUUUGUCAAGAUCUUCUUAUGUUCGAGUCUCAUGAAUGGAAAAAAAUAACAUUAAAAGGGUUACUACUCCUAAUUUUUUUUCAGUUAAAGUCACCCCAUGUCACAACUAUGACGUGACAUUUGGCAAACAAAUUAUAAAAAAUAAAAAUCAAUAAAAGCUCUAAAAAUUAUUAAAUUUUAAUAAAAAUUAUUAAAAAUUAGAAAAAAAUAAAAAUGUAAACAUUUUAUAAAAAUCAUAAAAUAUAAAAUUGUAAAAUUUUAUAAGAAAAUUAUAAAAAAAAACGUAAAAAACUAUAAAAUUCAUAAAACUUAUAAAAAUUAUCGUACCAAAAGGAAUUUUAUAAUUUUUCUAUAACUUUUAUUGAUUUUUAUUUUUUUAUCAUCUUUUACCACACGUCACACUAUGUUGCGAACAUGAUAGCUUUAAUUGAAAAAAUUGGAGGUCAUUAACUUUAAUAAUCAACUGUUAAUGUUAAUGAUUGAAGGGUCUUUUUGAUGCAUUUUAUAAUUUUAUAAUAAUUUUUAUAAAAUUUUAUAUAUUUUUUUUCUAAUUUUUAAUAAAAUUUUAAUAUUUUUAUAUUUUUAUUAAAAUUUAAUAUUUUUAUAACUUUUAUUGAUUUUUUACUUUUUAUAAUUUUUUUUUCCAUAUGUCUCGCUGUGAUUGUGGCACUAGUUGGUUUUAACUGAAAAAAAUUAGGGACAAUUAACUUUAACGGUCAACCAAUUAACGAUCAAAGAGCUUUUUUGAUGCAUUUUGACAGUUCAAAUAUCUAAUAUUCAAUUGAGUGUAAAAAAAGCAAGGCAAUGACUUAAUUGCUUUUUUGAAAAAAAUUGAGGACUUUUUUGAUGCAUUUUAAGAAUUCAAAUUUCCAAUUGAGUGCAAAAAAAAAAAGUUUAAUUCUUUCUUUUUGAAAAUUUUGAGGGAUUUUUAUUCCUUAAGUCAAAUAUAUAUAUAUAUAUAUAUAAGUUUAUGAUAUUGUUUCGUGUAUAUGAUGGAACAUAAAAUUGGAACUUAAAAAUUGUACCAAAAGUAAGACGAAAGGAGUUGAGAAACAUGUAAUUGGAUAAUGUUUGGUGUGGUGGUGGAGUUUGGAACAGGGCACACACGGUUUCGUCUCCCUUUUCGCUGCACAGUUUGUCAAAGGCAGGAUUCCUUGUGUAAUAAGUCGGGGGGAUUCAUUAAUGUUGUAAUCAAGUUUCCAUAAAAAAAUGUUUACUAGAAUAAGGAAAAUUGCAGCAAAAGUGACAAAAUCUUGACAAGUAACAGGCCUACCAAAAGUUUCUUUGACAGAAUAAAUAUGGAAAAAAUCAACCAAGUGAAGAACAUGUGCUACCAACAAAACAUUAAUUAACAAAUUGACCCUUUGAUAGCUGUGUAAUCUUAAUUUCACCGAAAUUAUCACGAGGGACGUUUUCCUACCUCCCACAUUUUUUUAAGGAUAAUUUUUUUUUAAUAUCAAAUUAAUGUUUGAUAAAAAUUUUAAAAGUAAGUGCAUCUACAGUCACUCAAUUUUGGUUCUAAUAAUAAAAUAGUCAUUCAACUUUAAAAAAUAACAAAUCAGUCACUAAUAUUAUUAAAAACUGACAAAUCAAUCACUCACUGACAUUUUCCGUUACAAGUCUAAUGGAACAGUUGACGUGGUCCGUUAACUAGCUGACGUGACCAACUAACUAGCCAUGGUGGAAACCCAGUUUAAGAACCAAACAAAAUAGUAAAAGAAGAAGAUGAAAAACAAACAGAAGAAGAAGAGAAGAAAUGGAGAUGCCGAAGCAAGAGAGAUGCGAAUUUGAAUCAACAAAAUGCCAUUGUCAUUGCUAGCUUUUCCUACUUUAAUAUAGCAUUUGGCAGCAAGAGAGAGGCGAAUUUGUAAGGAAACAGUAAAACUAAAACUUCCCUAUUUGACGCUUCGCUUUCACUUAUCAAAUUUUGCAGCAAUGGCUUUGCUUUCAGAUUCUUCCAAACAAUCCCUUCUCCCAACCUUCCUAUACUCUUCCACCAACUCUUUCUCUUUCGAUCGAUUCCACAAUGCUAAUAACUCUGCCUUCGCUGCUUCGCAUGAAUCUCCCACUGCACCAUCAUCACUAUCGGAGGCUACACGACAACACCCAUCCGGUGUCCACCAAGGCACUAGCCCACCACCGCCAUUUGUUCACCGCCCCUCUGUGAUGGCACUAAUAUAUCUCUAACGGAUCUUAAAUGUGUGUUUUGGCAUUGGGGGUUGCAGUUUUAUGUUUUAUUCAUUUUGUUGAUUCAGAUUCAAGUCAUAAAGAUUGAGAUUUAGAAUUUUUCUCUUCUUCUUCUUCUUUUUCUCCUACUGCCUAGCUAGGGUUCUUAUAUUGGGCCGAUUAAAUGACAGGUAGGAUGCCAACAUGGCCAAUUAAAUGACAGGUCAACUUUCCAUUAUGUCUGACGAAAAAUGAUUACUAGAACUGAUUUGUUAUUUUUUUAAAGUUGAGUGACUGUUUUGUUAUUGAAACCAAAGUUGAGUAACUGUUGAUAUUCUUUAAAUUUUAAUCAUGCUUCAUAUAACUCAUGACUUUUCAAGGAUAAGUUUUAAAAUUACUUAUAAACUUGGUUUUAAUGUACAAAUUAUAAUAUAUUAUUUUAAUUUUGUACAAUUAUAUUAGUUUUCAUAAAUUAAUAACACUACAAUCAAUAUGAUAUUGAUUUACAUUUAUUUACCACAUAAUAAACGAUUAUAUUUAUCUAACAUAAAAAUAUUUAGAUUUAUUUGUUUGUUAAAUAUGUAUAGUUGGGUUAAAAAUAAAAUUUUAUAUGAACAAUUGAAUCAAAAUAAAAUAUUUAUGUAUAUAAAUUUUCCAAAUUAAAGUUUAUGAUGUAUCACAUUAGACAUUAUAUUAAGGUUCUCGUAUAAUUUUAAAAUUUAUAUUGAAGUUUUGAAAUUGUUGCUAGCAAACUAACAAAGUGUUUGGAAGGAGUAACAAGGAAAUGGACACUUAUCUGGCACCAAACUGGAAAUAGUAAACAAAAUCGAACACACAAGAAUUGUUUACGUAGUUCGGUAUCCUUACAUCUACGAAGUCUAAUUUAGUGAGAAAUAUCCACUCACUUCAACAAUUACAACAAGUGAAUCUAACUUAUCACACACCCGUGACAAUUUUCUUUACUUUUGAACCUUGAAUAUCGAUACUCUCACCACUAAGUUCACCCCAGUGAGCCCAGCAAAUAAAAUCACAACACAAACGGUUUUAAUAUUAAAUUGCAAUCUCAGAAAAGUUCCUUACACGAAUAGGUUAAGUGCUAAAAUUUUUUUUGUACAAUCACUUAUACUAGUCUCCAUUAAAUAGAUUAUUUUUUAGACUUACUUACAUAGAAAAUCUAUCACAAUUUCACCUAAACAGUAAUAAGGUAAAUUGUAUAAAAUAUAAUAAUUAUAAGUAAAUAUGAACUCAUAGGAGCUAAUCAAUCAGAGUUUCAAUCCAAUUCAAUAUCCACGAUUCAAGGGAUUGACUUGGAUGAUCUAAUUCAAUACAAUCUCUAAAAUAUGUUUCCUCAUGGGCUAAAUAUAAUCUAUAUACUCAGCAUAAUCCAUCUAUACUGAUUAAUAAAUUGCUAAUACUUCAAAAAUGGAAACUAUCUAGUUACAAGGAAAUCGGCACUCACAAAAGAAAUAAGCUUUAAACUAUGCCGGAUAAAAUUCACCAAAAACAUUCUACAGAAAAUGCUAUAUAUUAAAAAAAUAAAAGGUUAGCCAGCAGCCACCAGGUAGGCUUAAGAAUCCUAUAAUUGCAAUGAUGAAAAAUCCUGAAUAUAGAAAAUAACUACUCCUUUUCCUAGAUUUUGUGUCUGAAAUUUAAUUCAUUCCAUUUGUCUAGAUUUAAUAAGCCCUUCGUGACAGACAGGGACAAAGUAAUUGGAAUUCAUAGUUCUUGAAACCAUGAUUUGCCGACCAAUGAUUCGGUUUCAGUGUUCCUAGUGAAAUAUUAUAAAAAUAAAGAAAAACUUUGUUUGGCUGGCUGUCUUUGUCUGUCAGGAAAUGACCUUAUUUGAAGAGUUCAAGUCUUUGAUACCAUCUAAUGAUUCCCGAUUUGUCUUCCAAACACUUGCUCUUUAGUUUUAAAUAAAAACAUAAUCCCAGAUUGAAUCUGCUGCUAUAUAUGAAGACAGAAUAUUGAAUCCAUAGCAAUUUAAUGAAGUGUCCUUACAAAGUUCUGAACUGCAGUUCGGUCUAGUUUCUAACAGCUACAAUGGCCAACACGCCUUCAAUUACCGAAGACUUCUCCUCAAAACAUUCGCCUAUGAAACACUCUGUAGAAGCGGCCUCUCCUAAACUUCCACCGCCUACAAAACGCCGUACCAUGGAAGAAGCAAAAGUUAAACAUUUACCAGAAUUUUGCGUUAAUAAUGAAAUUCUUCCGUCAACCAUGCAGAAGGUAAAAGUGAAUGUGCUUGCUUCUUGUCUGUCUGUCUGUCACAUAUUUCAUCAUUAUACAUGACAAAAAGAAUAUUGCUCUCUUCUGCUAAAUAAACCGUGUAAACAGGCUGUUGCAGAGCUCCUAGGCACAUACUUUCUUAUCUUUAUAGGUUGUGGGUCAGCUCUUAUAAACGAUUUUGAACCACUAACUAUUGUGGGCAUAGCAAUUGUAUGGGGCAUGGUUCUGAUGGCAGCAAUUUAUGCUGUUGGCCAUAUCUCCGGUGCCCAUUUCAACCCUGCUGUCACUCUUGCCUUGGCUGCUGGUCAGAAAUUUUCAUGGAAACUUGUAAGGAAUGUCUAAUUACAAACAUUUUUACCAUUUUACUGCAACAUAUUCACUUCUCUUUAGUACAAGUUCAUGCACUGAAAUCCGGCUUCCUUAUCGGUCAAGGUACCUAUGUAUAUGGUGUCUCAAUUGCUUGGAUCAACUCUUGCAAGCUUGACCCUCAGGGCCUUGUUUCAUUACCGAGGUAUUGAAGUAACAGUGACCCAAUACAAAGAUUCAACUAGUGAUCUUGAAGCCUUUGCAUGGGAAUUUAUAGCGACUUUCAUAUUGAUGUUCAAUGUUUGUGCAAUCGCCACUGACCACAGAGCGGUAUGUUGAUACCUUGUUUUAUGUUCUUUUCAAUUCCUCAGGAAUAAGCUAUGUUUUAUGUACAAAUGUUAAUUAUAGUUAUUCUGAAUCUUCGAUUGACCAAAGCAGUGCAAAGCUGUCGCUGGAGCUGCAAUAGGUGCUACAGUGCUGUUUAAUGUCAUUGUAGCUGGGUAAGUGAACUUUCCCAGCAACAUUCCAUUCUUUUUUUAUAUUUCAUGAACAAUUCUUUCGAUCAUACCUCAUAUCGUAAAAUUUAUGAUCUCCAUAUAUUUGGCAGGCCGAUUACCGGAGCUUCGAUGAACCCUGCAAGAAGUUUAGGCCCUGCUGUUGUCUCCGGUGUUUAUGAAAACCUUUGGGUCUAUAUUGUAGCUCCAGUUCUUGGAGCAAUGGCCGCAACUUUUGUGUACAGUGUUCUUCGAGCACCUGAACCAGAAAAGCCCGAGAGCAUAAAAAGCAUGCAUAAUGAGCUUUACUCUGAAGUCUGAUCCCAUCCAAAUCUCGUAGUUGGAGAUUUCAUCUAUGUCCAACAGCAGCGUUCAAUAGUUUUCCCUAGGAAGCAUACUCGAUUAGGCUUGUUGAUGGAUGCUUUAGUACAAAUAAGAAUCAAAGAAAUAUAGGAAAUAUCUACCUAUGACGUAGUUUUUUCAUCAAUAAAAAAUAAGCAUUCUACUGUAGUUUUUUUUUUCUUUUCAUAACUAUAGAUACGAUGUGGUAAAGCUGGAAAAACAAACAGAGAGCACCAAAAAUAUGAAUUACAAUACAAUCAUUUCUUACAAUCAGUUAAAAGUAACAUAAACAUGGUUUUAUUUGAGGACUACACAAUUCUAAAUUCUACCCAUGACUCUCUU
rnacentral:lncRNA from 1 species